rnacentral:rRNA from 1 species
AGUAGAACGCUGAGGACUGGUGCUUGCACUGGAUCUGAAGGAGUUGCGAAGGGAAAGUAACGCGUAGGUAACCUACCUCAUAGCGGGGGAUAACUAUUGGAAACGAUAGCUAAUACCGCAUGACAAUAGGGUACACAUGUACCCUAUUUAAAAGGGGCAACUGCUUCACUAUGAGAUGGACCUGCGUUGUAUUAGCUAGUUGGUAAGGUAACGGCUUACCAAGGCGACGAUACAUAGCCGACCUGAGAGGGUGAUCGGCCACACUGGGACUGAGACACGGCCCAGACUCCUACGGGAGGCAGCAGUAGGGAAUCUUCGGCAAUGGGGGGAACCCUGACCGAGCAACGCCGCGUGAGUGAAGAAGGUUUUCGGAUCGUAAAGCUCUGUUGUUAGAGAAGAACGGUAAUGGGAGUGGAAAAUCCAUUACGUGACGGUAACUAACCAGAAAGGGACGGCUAACUACGUGCCAGCAGCCGCGGUAAUACGUAGGUCCCGAGCGUUGUCCGGAUUUAUUGGGCGUAAAGCGAGCGCAGGCGGUUUGAUAAGUCUGAAGUUAAAGGCUGUGGCUUAACCAUAGUUCGCUUUGGAAACUGUCAAACUUGAGUGCAGAAAGGGAGAGUGGAAUUCCAUGUGUAGCGGUGAAUGCGUAGAUAUAUGGGAGGACACCGGUGGCGAAGCGGCUCUCUGGUCUGUAACUGACGCUGAGGCUCGAAAGCGUGGGGAGCAACAGAUUAGAUACCCUGGUAGUCCACGUCGUAAACGAUGAGUGCUAGUGUUAG